rnacentral:lncRNA from 1 species
GUCCCUCGAGGAGUCGUCGAACCUUAACCUCGCCUGUCUCAUCUGAGUGUAGAACUAAAGAAUAUAUAUUUUUUGUCAGAUAGAAGCUAAAUAAUAAAAUAGACUUAAAGCAAAUCAUGUAUUAUUUCAAAAGUACAAGUAAUAAGGACUAAAGUAAACCAUAUACACGUACAAAGAAUUUAAUACUUUUUGGAGUUGGUACAGGAUCUCAAGAGGGAGGAGGUUCACCUUCCCCAUCUAUAAUUGGUGUCGUAGAGAUCUACAUGUAACAACUCAAAUAAGUAGCUGACAUACAUGAUCAUAAAGUAUACACUAAAUUCUUGAAGAAAACACAUGAAUCUAGGCACACAAAUGAAUCGGGAUAAACAACGCAGAUUUGUAGGUUUGUAGUUAGAGAAUGAUUUAAACAACACAGAUUUGGAAAGCUAAUCUGGACAACAGAGUAUGAUUUAAACAGCUCAGGAUGCAAAACUCCUGAUAUAUUAGCUUUCAUGGGAUAUUCACUACAUAUCGAUGCAAAACUGAUCAUGGGAUAUGAACGUACAUGGCAUGAUAUAUUAGCUUAUGCAUGCAGAGUAGUAGCUAGAUCUCGAAUACCAUGAUGGUCAAGACUCAAGAGUCGAACUAAUUGGACGGAAAUAGAACAAUUGAUUGAUGUGGGAUCAAACAGAAGUGUCAUGCACAUCCGAAUUCAGUCGUUUCAGGCAGGCAACCAGUUCAAAUACAUUCGCCGCGACUUGAUAUAUAUACAAGCAGAGAAGUGCAGGUUUCUGAACAAGAACUUGAGAGGCUGAACAAUGAUACUAGCUAGCAGCAAGCAAUAGCGUGGAACUCAAGGUGACAUGCAUUUUCGGAAUAAACAAUGAUCUCACGUAAUUUCAGGCUAACGGUAAUACGAACCACAAACCAAUGGAUCAGUUGUAGAGCGAUUGUAGUAAGUAGUAACACGUUGGGAAGGAAUUCCAUAUGAUAUUAAUUAGAAAUGAAAGGCAAUUCAGGAUGUAAUAUCUGAUAUGUAUUCAUUUGAGGCAAGCAGUUAUUCAGACUUCCAACGGACAUUCAACAGGGCGAAAUCAAAAUCCCUUGCGCACGGACCAGCAGAUCACGCGCGAGAGUGAGAGGGCGACAGGGCGUGGCCGCGACACCUCCCCCAGUCCCCCAGACCCAUCCCGCGCACCAUCGACGCCACCUUGUUCCCCACCAUCUUCGUCCAGGCCGACACCACCUCGUUCAAGCAGGUCGUCCAGAUGCUCACUGGCGCCGAGCAGCCGGCCAACAACGACGCGACGACGGCAGGGGUAGCCGCUGCCGCCAACGGGGCCGACGCCCAGGUGGCCUGUGAUGACCCCAACGAGGACGGGAGCGCAGUCGCAGCGUCGCGGUGCGAGAGCGGAGAGGAGCGAGAUCGAGGGCGAGAGUUUGGGGCAGCGAGAGCAGAGGAUAGGAGAGGGAAGGAAGAGAGCAGAUCCUCACCGGGGAGAAGGCAGCGGGGAGGGUCGUCGUCGGGGCUGUGCGCCGCCGCCGUGCCAGUCGCGUCGUCCAGGCUUCGAUCCGGAGGGUACGACACAAGGGUUGGUUCCAGGCCGUGGCGUGAAGGGAAAUUUUA